AGAGCGAACGCUGGCGGCAGGCUUAACACAUGCAAGUCGAGCGGGCGUAGCAAUACGUCAGCGGCAGACGGGUGAGUAACGCGUGGGAACAUACCUUUUGGUUCGGAACAACACAGGGAAACUUGUGCUAAUACCGGAUAAGCCCUUACGGGGAAAGAUUUAUCGCCGAAAGAUUGGCCCGCGUCUGAUUAGCUAGUUGGUGAGGUAACGGCUCACCAAGGCGACGAUCAGUAGCUGGUCUGAGAGGAUGAUCAGCCACAUUGGGACUGAGACACGGCCCAAACUCCUACGGGAGGCAGCAGUGGGGAAUAUUGGACAAUGGGCGCAAGCCUGAUCCAGCCAUGCCGCGUGAGUGAUGAAGGCCCUAGGUUGUAAAGCUCUUUGUGCGGGAAGAUAAUGACGGUACCGCAAGAAUAACGCCCGGCUAACUUCGUGCCAGCAGCCGC
rnacentral:rRNA from 1 species